UAGUACAUGGUGUGGUGGUUUCAGCACUGGACUAGGACUCUGGAGACCAGGGUUCAAAUCCCUUCUUAGUAA